rnacentral:rRNA from 1 species
GGUUUUUAGAUCUUAUUAAAAAUCAAACCUGCUCAAUGUAAAAUAAAUAGCCGCGGUAUUAUGACCGUGCAAAGGUAGCAUAAUAAUUAGUCCCUUAAUUGGGGACUGGAAUGAACGGUUUAACUAAAUAUUUUUGUCUUAUAUUUAUAUUUCGAAUUUUAUUUUUCAAUAAAAAAGUUGAAAUCUUCUUAAGGGACGAGAAGACCCUAUCAAGCUUUAUAAUUAUUUAUUUAUUUUCAAAUUAAAUAAUAAAUUAUUUUACUGGGGCAGUGAAUAAAUUGUUUUUAUCUAUAUAUUGAGAUGUUAAAUCUGGAGAAAUCGAGAAAUUCUCAAAAAAUAAUAAGUUACUGUAGGGAUAACAGCAUAAUUUUUUUAAAGAGUUCUUAUCAUCAAAAAAGUUUAUGACCUCGAUGUUGGAUUAAGAAACCUAAUAACCGCAAUAGUUUAUUAAGGAAGUCUGUUCGACUUUUAAAUUCUUCCA